AGAUAUUUCAAUAAAAUAGGCGGAAGUAAAUAAGGGAAGAAAAGGUAUUAGUUCUUUAAAAGAUCCCAUUUAACAUUGGAAAUCCGGAAAAAGGAAAUGUAGCGUGCUAAU